ensembl:antisense Gm12631 predicted gene 12631
CGGCCCGCAGCGCCACACUGGAACGCCUCGCUUAAAGUAACAGGCUCCCGGGUGACAACCCCUCGCAGAAGUGUUCUAGAGUCGCUCUUCUACAAAUGCUCCAUCUCCGAUUGUAGUUUGUCUCAGUGGCCACGGGUAGAAUAUCAAGCCAUACGUGAAGCGAAAAAAGAAGAAGAAGAAGAAGAAGAAGAAGAAAAAGAGUUACUAGCUUCCUCUAGAAACACAGACAACCUUUAAAAAGGAAACGGAUAAGAUCUAGACGAUAUACGAAAAUGAAAGAUGGGUGUGACUUUGUUUCGUUAAAGUUCUUGUACCUCUCUGGCUCUUAACUCCUUUUUUGAACUGGUUUGGGGUGGUGGCUGUUUUCCAGAGUUUAUCUUUUGUUCACCAUCUUUUUUUCUCCAGAUUGCCAACUUCUUUUCUCCCUGUGUUUUUUGUCUCUCUUCCUCUUUCUGACUCAACUUUAUUGCUUUCUUCUUUUCCUCUCGCCGGGAGACCAUGAAAGCACAACUCGGCCCUUGCAUUGAACACUUGAGAAUAACGGGAAGGAGGUUUCCUGGAGCGUCCCAGGUUCUCCAUGACCACGUUCAGUUUUUCCCACUGCUCACAAAGUAGAUGAUGGGGAUUAGACAGGAC